rnacentral:rRNA from 1 species
GAGUUUGAUCCUGGCUCAGGACGAACGCUGGCGGCAUGCCUAAGACAUGCAAGUCGAACGAGAUGGUCUUUUGAAAGAGGAGUGCUUGCACAAUUCUCGAUAUAGAUUCAUCUAGUGGCGCACGGGUGAGUAACACGUAGGUAACCUACCUUUUAGAUUGGGAUAACAGUUGGAAACGAUUGCUAAUACCAAAUGAUAUAUAGGAGGGGAACUUUCUAUAGUAAAAGGGUGCUUUAAAGCAUCGCUUUAAGAUGGGCCUGCGGUGUAUUAGCUAGUUGGUAGGGUAAUGGCCUACCAAGGCAACGAUGCAUAGCCGAGCUGAGAGGUUGAUCGGCCACACUGGGACUGAGACACGGCCCAGACUCCUACGGGAGACAGCAGUUAGGAAUAUUCGUCAAUGGGGGAAACCCUGAACGAGCAAUGCCGCGUGAAUGAUGACGGUCUUAUAGAUUGUAAAAUUCUGUUGUUUGGGAAGAACGACUAAGGUAGGAAAUGACUUUAGUGUGACGGUACCAUUCAAGAAAGCCCCGGCUAACUACGUGCCAGCAGCCGCGGUAAUACGUAGGGGGCGAGCGUUGUCCGGAUUUAUUGGGCGUAAAGCGUGUGUAGGCGGUUUAUUAAGUCUGAGGUUAAAGACUGAAGCUCAACUUCAGUAUGCCUUGGAAACUGAUAGACUUGAGUAUGGUAGAGGCAAGUGGAAUUUCUAGUGUAGCGGUAAAAUGCGUAGAUAUUAGAAGGAACACCAGUGGCGAAGGCGACUUGCUGGGCUAUCACUGACGCUGAGACACGAAAGCGUGGGGAUCAAACAGGAUUAGAUACCCUGGUAGUCCACGCUGUAAACGAUGAUCACUAGCUGUAGGCGAUACACUGUCUGUGGUUAAGCGAAAGCGAUAAGUGAUCCACCUGGGGAGUACGUCGGCAACGAUGAAACUCAAAGGAAUUGACGGGGGCCCGCACAAGCGGAGGAGCAUGUGGUUUAAUUCGAUGAUACGCGAGGAACCUUACCUGGGCUUGAACGUAUGGUGCAUUAUGGAGAAAUUCAUAUUUCUAGCAAUAGACUUCAUACGAGGUGCUGCAUGGCUGUCGUCAGCUCGUGCCGUGAGGUGUUAGGUUAAGUCCUGCAACGAGCGCAACCCCUGUUUUUAGUUGCCAGCAUGUAAUGAUGGGGACUCUAGAGAGACUGCCUGCGCAAGCAGCGAGGAAGGUGGGGAUGACGUCAAGUCAGCACGGCCCUUACGCCCAGGGCUACACACGUGCUACAAUGGCCGGUACAGAGGGCAGCGACCAUGUGAAUGGGAGCGAAUCUUCAAAGCCGGUCUCAGUUCGGAUCGGAGUCUGCAACUCGACUCCGUGAAGUUGGAUUCGCUAGUAAUCGCGCAUCAGCCAUGGCGCGGUGAAUACGUUCCCGGGCCUUGUACACACCGCCCGUCAAGCCAUGGGAGUUAGGGGUGCCUGAAGUCGAUGACCGUCAAAGGAGUCGCCUAGGGUAAACCUGAUGACUGGGGCUAAGUCGUAACAAGG